CCUACGGGAGGCAGCAGUAAGGAAUAUUGGACAAUGGAGGCAACUCUGAUCCAGCCAUGCCGCGUGAAGGAUGAAGGCGCUCAGCGUUGUAAACUUCUUUUGGAUGGGAACAAAAACUCCGAUGCGUCGGAGCCUGAGGGUACCAUCAGAAUAAGCACCGGCUAACUCCGUGCCAGCAGCCGCGGUAAUACGGAGGGUGCAAGCGUUAUCCGGAAUCACUGGGUUUAAAGGGUGCGUAGGCGGCUCGAUAAGUCAGUCGUGAAAUUCCCCGGCUUAACCGGCGGGACUGCGAUUGAUACUGUUGAACUUGAAUCAGGUUGAGGUAGGCGGAAUGUGGCAUGUAGCGGUGAAAUGCUUAGAUAUGCCAUAGAACACCGAUUGCGAAGGCAGCUUGCUGGACCUGUAUUGACGCUGAGGCACGAAAGCGUGGGGAGCAAACGAGGUAUUAGACUACCCGUGGUACGUCCACGCCCUAAACGNUGUUUACUUGCUGUGCGGUCUUCGGAUUGCGUGGNGAGAGAAGACGAGUAAGUAACCGUAACCGUGGGUAGGUUACGCCGGCGACCGGUUAGAACGUUACGAAGGAAGUUAGGACGGGCGUUGAGACGUUGCCGACGGACGACGACGAGGGAGGAGG
rnacentral:rRNA from 1 species